CACACACACACUGUCACAUACAUGUAACUCAGCGCCUGUUCAUUAACACCCAACAUCCUAUCACACAUUCCAGCUCUUUUUUAUUAAUCACCAAACACUGUCAUAUACCAUCAACUCACCUACUAUACAUUGAUACCCAAAUACUCUGACAUAUACCCCCAACUCACCUUCCAUGACUUAACCUUCACACACCAUGUAAUAUACCCCCAACUCACUUU